rnacentral:rRNA from 1 species
UACAGAGGGGGCAAGCGUUAUUCGGAAUUAUUGGGCGUAAAGGACGCGUAGGCGGCCUGACAAGUGGAAGGUGAAAUCCCUCGGCUUAACCGAGGAACUGCCUUCCAAACUGUUUGGCUUGAGUCCGGGAGAGGCGAGUGGAAUUCCCAGUGUAGCGGUGAAAUGCGUAGAUAUUGGGAGGAACACCAGUGGCGAAGGCGGCUCGCUGGACCGGAACUGACGCUGAGGCGCGAAAGCGUGGGGAGCAAACAGG